rnacentral:ncRNA from 6 species
UGAGAUGAAGCACUGUAGCUCU